rnacentral:rRNA from 1 species
AUUGAACGCUGGCGGCAGGCCUAACACAUGCAAGUCGAACGGUAACAGAAAGCAGCUUGCUGCUUUGCUGACGAGUGGCGGACGGGUGAGUAAUGUCUGGGAAACUGCCUGAUGGAGGGGGAUAACUACUGGAAACGGUAGCUAAUACCGCAUAACGUCGCAAGACCAAAGAGGGGGACCUUCGGGCCUCUUGCCAUCGGAUGUGCCCAGAUGGGAUUAGCUAGUAGGUGGGGUAACGGCUCACCUAGGCGACGAUCCCUAGCUGGUCUGAGAGGAUGACCAGCCACACUGGAACUGAGACACGGUCCAGACUCCUACGGGAGGCAGCAGUGGGGAAUAUUGCACAAUGGGCGCAAGCCUGAUGCAGCCAUGCCGCGUGUAUGAAGAAGGCCUUCGGGUUGUAAAGUACUUUCAGCGGGGAGGAAGGGAGUAAAGUUAAUACCUUUGCUCAUUGACGUUACCCGCAGAAGAAGCACCGGCUAACUCCGUGC